GCAUCAGGGUCACACAGAAGACUUAGGACACAAGCAGUUGUGCUCCACUCCCACAGUCUCUGAUUCAGAACCCUUGGAGUAGGCCUGAGAUUUUCCCUCUCGUCAGGCCAUUCAUAAAUCACACUAAGUCAGAAAGGAUCCAGUUACAGACAAAAUGACUAUUCCCACGCUGCUGCUUUCUCCUUACCGGCGUUUACUAACCCGCCUCUCGAGAGUACCUUCCCCACAGCUCCUUCAUUCAAGUCUUCCUACACUGCACCCCCGAGAUGCUCUGCCGAACUCUUUUGGACACCAUUGUAGUAAGAGGGUGCUACUGUCUGACGGCUUCAGGAGAACAUUAUGUAUCCGGGCAACCUUGAAGGACCACACAGAAGGACUUUCUGAUAAAGAACAAAGAUUUGUGGAUAGACUUUAUAUGGGUUUAGUUCAAGGGCAGAGAGCUUGCCUAGCAGAGGCCAUAACUCUCGUGGAAUCGACUCACACCAGGAAGAAGGAGCUGGCUCAGGUGCUUCUCCAGAGAGUCUUAGCCCACCAGCGAGAACGGGAGCUGCAGAACCACGGAAAGCCCUUCACAUUUCGACCUGCAGAGAUCCAUACAGUUGCAGUAGCUGCUGUCCUGAGGAGACACUAGGCUGAGGCACCAGGGCAGGGGAGGCGCACAGGACACACCACAGAUCCAAGAUGUGUUGUCUGGACCGCCUGGUGCAGGAAAAUCAACCUUCAUAGAAUGUUU
rnacentral:lncRNA from 1 species